rnacentral:tRNA from 1 species
GGCAGCAUGGUGUAGUGGCUUGAGUGUUGGACUACGACUCUAGAGACCAGGGUUUGAAUCCUUGCUCGGCCA